CCAAAUUUAGUUUAUAAAAUGAAUAUCUCUUUGUUAAUGAGAAGGUUGGAUUUUUGGU
rnacentral:tRNA from 1 species